UACGGGGGGGGCAAGCGUUGUUCGGAAUUACUGGGCGUAAAGGGCUCGUAGGCGGCCAACUAAGUCAGACGUGAAAUCCCUCAGCUUAACUGAGGAACUGCGUCUGAUACUGGAUGGCUUGGAUUCGGGAGAGGGAUGCGGAAUUCCAGGUGUAGCGGUGAAAUGCGUAGAUAUCUGGAGGAACACCGGUGGCGAAGGCGGCAUCCUGGACCGAUAUUGACGCUGAGGAGCGAAAGCUAGGGGAGCAAACGGG
rnacentral:rRNA from 1 species